GUAAAUAUGUUUUUAGAACUUUUAUUAUUAUAACAACUUUUUAUAGCAAGGUACAAGUGUACGUACUGUAAUUGUGUGGACACUCCUUGCCUUCAGCUGGUGUGUGGGCAACUUUCGUGCCAUAAUUCCUCAAUUUAGAAGGUUUAUUUAGAAUUUCUGAAUU